rnacentral:rRNA from 1 species
CAGCCGAUGCGGAGGCCUAACACAUGCAGUCGAGCGCGCCCUUCGGGGUGAGCGGCGGACGGGUUAGUAACGCGUGGGAAUAUACCCGACACUAAGGAAUAGCCUCUGGAAACGGAGAGUAAUACCUUAUACGCCCUUCGGGGGAAAGAUUUAUCGGUGACGGAUUAGCCCGCGUUAGAUUAGAUAGUUGGUGGGGUAAUGGCCUACCAAGUCUACGAUCUAUAGCUGGUUUUAGAGGAUGAUCAGCAACACUGGGACUGAGACACGGCCCAGACUCCUACGGGAGGCAGCAGUGGGGAAUCUUGGACAAUGGGCGCAAGCCUGAUCCAGCCAUGCCGCGUGAGUGAUGAAGGCCUUAGGGUCGUAAAGCUCUUUCGCCAGAGAUGAUUAUGACAGUAUCUGGUAAAGAAACCCCGGCUAACUCCGUGCCAGCAGCCGCGGUAAUACGGAGGGGGUUAGCGUUGUUCGGAAUUACUGGGCGUAAAGCGCGUGUAGGCGGAUUAGUAAGUUAGAGGUGAAAUCCCGGGGCUCAACCCCGGAACUGCCUUUAAUACUGCUAGUCUUGAGUUCGAGAGAGGUGAGUGGAAUUCCGAGUGUAGAGGUGAAAUUCGUAGAUAUUCGGAGGAACACCAGUGGCGAAGGCGGCUCACUGGCUCGAUACUGACGCUGAGGUGCGAAAGUGUGGGGAGCAAACAGGAUUAGAUACCCUGGUAGUCCACACCGUAACGAUGAGUGCCAGUCGUCGGGUAGCAUGCUAUUCGUGACACACCUAACGGAUUAAGCAUUCCGCCUGGGGAGUACGGUCGCAAGAUUAUACCUCGAAGGUUUUGACGA